AGCGUAGGCGGACAUCUAAGUCAGGGGUGAAAUCCCGGGGCUCAACCUCGGAAUUGCCUUUGAUACUGGGUGUCUUGAGUAUGAGAGAGGUGUGUGGAACUCCGAGUGUAGAGGUGAAAUUCGUAGAUAUUCGGAAGAACACCAGUGGCGAAGGCGACACACUGGCUCAUCACUGACGCUGAGGCUCGAAAGCGUGGGGAGCAAACA
rnacentral:rRNA from 1 species